rnacentral:rRNA from 1 species
CGUAGGGGCCAAGCGUUGUUCGGAUUUACUGGGCGUAAAGGGCGCGUAGCGGCGAAUCAAGUCAGCUGUGAAAUCUCCGAGCUUAACUCGGAACGUCAGCUGAUACUGUUUUGCUAGAGUGCAGAAAGGGCAACCGGAAUUCUUGGUGUAGCGGUGAAAUGCGUAGAUAUCAAGAGGAACACCUGAGGCGAAGGCGGGCUGCUAGGCUGACACUGACGCUGAAGCGCGAAAGCUAGGGUAGCAAACGGGAUUAGAUACCCCGGUAGUCCUAGCCCUAAACGAUGUAUGCUUGGUGUCUGGAGUUUUUAUCUCUGGGUGCCGUCGCUAACGCUUUUAGCAUACCGCCUGGGGAGUACGCACGCAAGUGUG